GACGUAGGGCGCGAGCGUUGUCCGGAUUUAUUGGGCGUAAAGAGCUCGUAGGCGGUUUGUCGCGUCUGCUGUGAAAACCUAAGGCUCAACCUUGGGCUUGCAGUGGGUACGGGCAGACUAGAGUGCGGUAGGGGUGACUGGAAUUCCUGGUGUAGCGGUGGAAUGCGCAGAUAUCAGGAGGAACACCGAUGGCGAAGGCAGGUCACUGGGCCGCAACUGACGCUGGAGGAGCGGAAAGCAUGGGGAGCGAAACAGG
rnacentral:rRNA from 1 species